UGUUGUUUUAAUGAAUGCUUAUAAUUUUUUUGUGUGAGCGAGGAGCGGUUUGGUUUUGAGUAGAGCGGCUGAGUGGGAUUUCCGACCACUCAACUCCGUACUCUGAUGUGAACUAUGUGCCACCACAUUACACUGAAACUAGACACACACACUAUUCAAAACUGUUUAUUUUCUUGUCUUUGCAGUGGGUCGAGCAGCAGCAUGAUCGCAAUCGACAACAAGAUCGAGCAAGCCAUGGACCUCGUAAAGACCCACCUGAUGCUGGCGGUCCGAGAGGAAGUGGAGUUGCUAUGGGAACAGAUUAGAGAGCUGUCAGAAAGGAACGCCCAGCUGGAGAAGGAGAACUGCAUCCUGAGGAGGCUGAGAGACUGACCCUCCUGCAAUCACGUUGUUUAAAUUAGUAUAUACCUGUAACAUUACUGAUGAGUGAUUCUGUCCAACUGCAGAAAACAAUAAUAAAUAACUGUGAUUUAAA